GAUGAAGAACGUAGCGAAAUGCGAUAAGUAGUGUGAAUUGCAGAAUUCAGUGAAUCAUCGAAUCUUUGAACGCACAUUGCGCCCUAUGGUAUUCCGUAGGGCAUGCCUGUUCGAGCGUCAUUACACACCUCAAGCUCUGCUUGGUAUUGGGCGUCGUCCCCUAAACGGGACGUGCCUCAAAGACCUCGGCGGUGGCGUCUUUGCCUCAAGCGUAGUAAUCUUUUUAUCUCGCUUUGGAGUCGAAGGCGUCGCCCGCCGGACGAAACCUUUAUUUUUCUAUCAAGGUUGACCUCGGAUCAGGUAGGGAUACCCGCUGAACUUAAGCAUAUCAAUAAGCGGAGGA
rnacentral:misc_RNA from 1 species